AUAAUUUAAGACUGGAAUGAAAGAGUCAACCUAAAGAAAAUUAUUUCUUAUUUAAUCUCUAAAUUUUACUUUUUAGUAAAAAGGCUAAAAUAAUUUUUAUAGACAAGAAGACCCUGUAAAACUUUACAUACUAAUAUUAAAAAUUAAAAAAUAUGUUCAGCUGGGCGGCCAAAAGAUUCUAACACCUUUAAAAUAAAAUUAUAUUUUAAUAUACCCAGAAUUUCUGAAAAUUAAAUAAGCUACUUCAGGGAUAACAGCGUUAUAUAUUUUUAAAGACCUUAUUAACAAAUAUGUUUGCGACCUCGAUGUUGGAUUGU
rnacentral:rRNA from 1 species